UACGGAGGGAGCUAGCGUUGUUCGGAAUUACUGGGCGUAAAGCGCGCGUAGGCGGCUUUGUAAGUUAGAGGUGAAAGCCCGGGGCUCAACCCCGGAAUUGCCUUUAAGACUGCAUCGCUUGAAUCCGGGAGAGGUGAGUGGAAUUCCGAGUGUAGAGGUGAAAUUCGUAGAUAUUCGGAAGAACACCAGUGGCGAAGGCGGCUCACUGGACCGGCAAUUGACGCUGAGGUGCGAAAGCGUGGGGAGCAAACAGG
rnacentral:rRNA from 1 species